UACGUAGGGUGCGAGCGUUAAUCGGAAUUACUGGGCGUAAAGCGUGCGCAGGCGGUUCGUUAUGUCCGAUGUGAAAGCCCCGAGCUUAACUUGGGAAUGGCAUUGGAAACUGGAGGGCUGGAGUGCGGCAGAGGGAGGUGGAAUUCCACGUGUAGCAGUGAAAUGCGUAGAGAUGUGGAGGAACACCGAUGGCGAAGGCAGCCCCCUGGGCCGACACUGACGCUCAGGCACGAAAGCGUGGGGAGCAAACAGG
rnacentral:rRNA from 1 species